CCUAUUAUGGUACACUAGCAACAGAUAGUAAAGUUUAUGCGGUGGCUAAUCCCAAGAGAAAUGGGGUGAUGCCUAUGUUGUUUUUCGGCUUGAUCCCUGGAAAGGAAUAAGCUUGUCUGUAUAUGAAGCAUUGAUGUUUGCGGUAGCUUUCGCAACAUUGAUACUUUCAAUCAGCAAUAAAAA
rnacentral:sRNA from 1 species